UACGUAGGCAGCGAGCGUUGUUCGGAAUUACUGGGCGUAAGAGUGUGUAGGCGGUGUUCCCAGUCUGUUGUGAAAUCUCCCGGCUUAACUGGGAGGGUGCAGCGGAAACUAGAAUGCUAGAGGGUGGGAGAGGUAAGCGGAAUUCCUGGUGUAGCGGGUGAAAUGCGUAGAUAUCAGGAGGAACACCUGUGGUGUAGACAGCUUACUGGACCACUUCUGACGCUGAGACACGAAAGCGUGGGUAGCAAACAGGAUUAGAACUACCGAGUCAGU
rnacentral:rRNA from 1 species